rnacentral:rRNA from 1 species
UACGAAGGGGGGCGAGCGUUGUUCGGAUUUACUGGGCGUAAAGGGCGCGCAGGCGGUCUUGAAAGUCAGGCGUGAAAGCCCCCGGGCUUAACCUGGGAAUUGCGCUUGAUACUCUGAGACUGGAGUACGGGAGAGGAGAGUGGAAUUCCCAGUGUAGAGGUGAAAAUUCGUAGAUAUUGGGAAGAACACCAGUGGCGAAGGCGGCUCUCUGGACCGUAACUGACGCUGAGGCGCGAAAGCGUGGGGAGCAAACAGG